UACGUAGGGUGCGAGCGUUAAUCGGAAUUACUGGGCGUAAAGCGUGCGCAGGCGGUUGGCUAAGUCUGAUGUGAAAGCCCCGGGCUCAACCUGGGAAUGGCAUUGGAAACUGGCUGGCUAGAGUGUGGCAGAGGGGGGUGGAAUUCCGCGUGUAGCAGUGAAAUGCGUAGAGAUGCGGAGGAACACCGAUGGCGAAGGCAGCCCCCUGGGCUGACACUGACGCUCAGGCACGAAAGCGUGGGGAGCAAACAGG
rnacentral:rRNA from 1 species